AGGGUUCGAUUCUGGCUCAGGAUGAACGCUGGCGGCGUGCCUAACACAUGCAAGUCGAGCGAUUCUCUUCGGAGAAGAGCGGCGGACGGGUGAGUAACGCGUGGGUAACCUGCCUCAUACACAUGGAUAACAUACCGAAAGGUAUGCUAAUCCAGGAUAAUAUAAGAGAUUCACAUGGAUUUCUUAUCAAAGCUCCGGCGGUAUGAGAUGGACCCGCGUCUGAUUAGCUAGUUGGUAAGGUAACGGCUUACCAAGGCGACGAUCAGUAGCCGACCUGAGAGGGUGAUCGGCCACAUUGGAACUGAGACACGGUCCAAACUCCUACGGGAGGCAGCAGUGGGGAAUAUUGCACAAUGGGCGAAAGCCUGAUGCAAGCAACGCCGCGUGAGUGAUGAAGGCCUUCGGGUCGUAAAACUCUGUCCUCAAGGAAGAUAAUGACGGUACUUGAGGAGGAAGCCCAGGCUAACUACGUGCCAGCAGCGGC
rnacentral:rRNA from 1 species